UCUGUGCACUGCUCUAUCCAUCACGCACAUCUACAUCUAUACAUAUACGUAUACGCAUAGACAUAGAUGCGUGCUAGACGUCUGUGCAAAUUGUGUGAUGCAAAAGAGGGGAAGUGAAAAAGUUUCGAUUAUCUCGCUCGUGUGCAGUAGGUCUUUUUACCUGUUGUAUUAGAUACACAGGUUGGGUUGUAAUCAGUGGCGACUCGAGAACAUUUGAACAAA